rnacentral:rRNA from 1 species
UACGGAGGGUGCAAGCGUUAUCCGGAUUCACUGGGUUUAAAGGGUGCGUAGGUGGGUUUGUAAGUCAGUGGUGAAAUCUCCGUGCUUAACAUGGAAACUGCCAUUGAUACUAUAGAUCUUGAAUUUUCUGGAGGAUAGCGGAAUAUGUCAUGUAGCGGUGAAAUGCUUAGAUAUGACAUAGAACACCAAUUGCGAAGGCAGCUAUCUACAGGGAUAUUGACACUGAGGCACGAAAGCGUGGGGGAUCAAACAGG